GAUGGCCGCCGUGGCCUCUUUAAGCGCCUUGACAGGUGCUGCUCCGAGGAGGGGGGGGAACCCGGACGGAGCCCGCCUAUUGGUCGUUGGAAGGCGAAGGGGAUGAUGUCAUCGCACAGGGCCCGAUGUCAUUGGCGGAAAGAAGAAGCGUUGCCCCCUCCCCCCCCACACCCUUGAUGGCGAUCUUGCGAUCGCCGUGGAGGGGGUUGCUCAGCUGUGGCGGACCCGGGAGUCGCCUUCCGUGCGAAAGUGGGCGCUACUCUUCCGGGCUUCCCCCGUCGCUUCACGCUGCUCUCCCGAGGGGGCGAGCGGGGAGAGGCAAGCCUUCCCCGGCGGCGAUCCAGGUCCUCAUAUAAUGUCCCCGACGUAGGAUCAUUUGAACCUGGUCAUAGUGUGCCUCCAGCGAGAACUCUGGGUUGAUUUGUUCAAUGAUCCGUUAGAUUCUGAAGUCUUGUUCCUGGCCUGAAAGUGGCUUUUUCCAGGAUGAAAGUCCCACCUGCUCUGCUCUUCUUCCUCUUACUAUUCCACUGGAUGCCAAGCUCUGGUAGUUCCCAGCAAGAUACCUGCCAGACCUGUCGGAGUCUUGUGGACAAUUUCAAUAAGGGUCUGGAGCGGACACAGCGAGAGAACUUCGGGGGCGGGAACACCGCCUGGGAAGAAGAGAAGCUUGCCAAAUACGCCAACAGGUGAUUUGAAGGCUGGGCUGCAACAGGCCAUUGGUGAGAUGCUGAUACUGCAGACCCCAGGCCCUAUCUGUAUCCUUGUUGGGAAGUAGCAAUCUCUUACUAGCAUCCUGAUCACAUAAAAUCCAACGAGAUGGGCCUUGGCACCCCAGACCAAGUCUCUUUUUAAAAAAAAACAAAAAAAACAAGGCUAUGAUAACUUAGAUAAUUGCUUGCUUUUAAAUAUUAUUGUGGACAUUCUGACAAUAACCCAGUUGCCGGAAUCUUUAUUUUAGUUGGAGGCCGAACCAUAGUGUACAUGUGGACUUCAACUCCCAGAGUUCCUCAGCCAGCAUGGGAGUUGAAGUCCCUGUGUCUUAAAGUUGCCAAGGUUGGGAAG